rnacentral:lncRNA from 1 species
GUCCAUUGGGUUCUUGAUCGGCUUUUCCGUACUCCAACUUACUGCUACACUCUUCUCUGCAUCUGGAGAUUCCUCUGGUUCGUUUGAUCUUNNNCCAGGUCUGCAACAUAUUCCCUGUUCUCCUUGAUUAUUUCCCAGGAAGUUAUAACACAUUCCUUAAAACUUUUGCUCAAAUGAGAAGUUACACUUUGGAGAAAACCAGAGAACACCAAGCAUCCCUGGGCAUUAACAACCCUCAGGACUUGAUUGAUUUUUUCCUGAUCAAGAUGGAGCAGCUGGGACAGAGACAGUGAGCACCACUCUGAGACAUGGGCUCCUCCUGCUGCUCAAGCACCCAGAUGUCACAGCUAAGAUCCAGGAAGAGAUUGACCGUGUGAUUGGCGGACACCAGAGCCCCUGCAUGCAGGACAAGAGCCACAUGCCCUACACGGAUGCUGUGGUGC